UACGUAGGGUGCAAGCGUUAAUCGGAAUUACUGGGCGUAAAGCGUGCGCAGGCGGUUUUGUAAGUCUGUCGUGAAAUCCCCGGGCUCACCUGGGAAUGGCGAUGAAGACUGCAAGGCUAGAAUCUGGCAGAGGGGGGUAGAAUUCCACGUGUAGCAGUGAAAUGCGUAGAGAUGUGGAGGAAUACCGAUGGCGAAGGCAGCCCCCUGGGAUAACACUGACGCUCAUGCACGAAAGCGUGGGGAGCAAACGAGG
rnacentral:rRNA from 1 species